UGUUCCCACAGAUCAUUCUAAAGCUUUUCAUGGCUGUGUUAGACUGAGUGAGGAGAACACACACCUCCUGUCCUGUAUUUCACUACUGUUUCAGCACACACUCAGUCACUUCCUCUCAAUAAUCAACACUCAAUCCUCAUCUAAGAGCCUUGUGAUGUGAUAAAGUACUGAAAUGGUUCUUAACCAAUAACUCUGAUCUGACAUUGAUAAAAUAUCUUCACUUUCCAUUUCCAGUUGAUUAAAACAUUAUAAAUGUAGAAUAAAUGAAAGUGACCCAGUGUUUGUGAUCCUUUCACUCUGAACAGGGUUUCAUGGAAAAAAGCAGUACAUUAGGAUGGAAAAAGGAACCUGGUUAGAUUUUAAUGACAUGACAAGGGGGUGUGUCUAAAGUACAGGGCUUUUCUUAAUCUGGUGUGAGCUCCAGUUCUAAACAUCUCUUAUUGUUCCUGGAUAAACUUUAAUAAAACACUUCAUAUUAUUAUAGCAGCACAACACUGAUUAUUAUUUAAGGAUCAGUGAUGACAUCAUCUGCAUGUAUGGCUGAAAAAAACUGAACAAUAUCAGUAAAUGUAGUCUGAUGUUUGAUAGAUUUUCUUUGAGGACACGUUUUCCUCAGCGCUGUACUGAUAUCUCUGUGUGGUUUAAUGUGUGUUUUAGAGGUCAGUGUUAAUGAGAGAGGAUCUUCAUCAGAGGAUUCAGACUCAGACCAGACUGGAGGGAACAACUGGAUUAUUAUAUGUGUUGUGAUCGUAAUCUUCAUCAUCAUCAUCAUCUGUGUGUCUGUGUACUACAGCAGGGUGAAAGGUCACAGACGUGCCACUGACUCCACUGAACAGAAUGAAAAUGUUCAUUGUGACACUGAGCUGCAUGACACUGAGCUGCAUGACAUAAGGGCCAGAAAAUCCCCUAUGAAAAACAAAGAAUCAGAUCUGGACAGUGUGACUUACACGGCAGUCGACACACAACCACAGAGUUAACGACCAACACAAGAUGGUCUGCUCUGAUCUCGUCAUGGAUUUCAGAUCAUCUUAAACUUCACCCCUGAGCCACUGAGCUGAUGUUCAUCUCUGGAGCUUCAUCACCAUGUCAGGAUCUUCUGAUUUACUGCAGAACUCUCAGAUCACACAUCAUGGACCAUCAGUUACUCUUCUAUCUAACCUGACUUGGUCUUGGUCAUGUGAUGUUACACUAAAUAAUGAACUGUGAACAGCAGGAAUUUUUACAUUUAUAUUUUUAUUUGUUGUUUAUUUUGAUGUAGUUUGUUGUGUUUACAUUGCAGCAGUAAACACAGUAUGUACAAUGGCUGAAGUCAUGUGUAGGAACUUUAUAGUUGUGGAGGAAUCUGGGUUCAGUUCCUCAGUAAUAUCAUGUACUGCUACUGAAGUUUUAUUACAGGGGUGUUUCUUUACUAAAUCUUUACUUUUUUAAAAUAUAAUAAUAAAUAAU